AGAUUUUUGCCUUCGGGUACAAUUGAGACAGGUGGUGCAUGGUUGUCGUCAGCUCGUGUCGUGAGAUGUUGGGUUAAGUCCCGCAACGAGCGCAACCCUUUGUGUUAGUUGCAAACAGGUCAAGCUGUGCACUCUAGACAGACUGCCGUGGACAACACGGAGGAAGGUGGGGAUGACGUCAAAUCAUCAUGCCCCUUACUGAUCUGGGCUACACACGUGCUACAAUGGCCGGUACAACGGGCAGCGAAGGAGCGAUCCGGAGCGAAUACCUAAAAAGCCGGUCCCAGUUCGGAUUGCAGGCUGAAACUCGCCUACAUGAAGUUGGAGUUGCUAGUAAUCGCGAAAUCAGAAUGUCGCGGUGAAUGCGUUCCCGGGUCUU
rnacentral:rRNA from 1 species